GUUUGAGUAGCUUAAUUUUAAAGCGUUACACUGAAGAUGUAAAUAUAAGUUUAACUUCUCAAACA
rnacentral:tRNA from 2 species